AAGCCCAGCUUGCUGGGUGGAUUAGUGGCGAACGGGUGAGUAACACGUGAGUAACCUGCCCUUAACUCUGGGAUAAGCCUGGGAAACUGGGUCUAAUACCGGAUAGGAGCGUCCACCGCAUGGUGGGUGUUGGAAAGAUUUAUCGGUUUUGGAUGGACUCGCGGCCUAUCAGCUUGUUGGUGAGGUAAUGGCUCACCAAGGCGACGACGGGUAGCCGGCCUGAGAGGGUGACCGGCCACACUGGGACUGAGACACGGCCCAGACUCCUACGGGAGGCAGCAGUGGGGAAUAUUGCACAAUGGGCGCAAGCCUGAUGCAGCGACGCCGCGUGAGGGAUGACGGCCUUCGGGUUGUAAACCUCUUUCAGUAGGGAAGAAGCGAAAGUGACGGUACCUGCAGAAGAAGCACCGGCUAACUACGUGCCAGCAGCCGCGGUAAUACGUAGGGUGCGAGCGUUAUCCGGAAUUAUUGGGCGUAAAGAGCUCGUAGGCGGUUUGUCGCGUCUGUCGUGAAAGUCCGGGGCUUAACCCCGGAUCUGCGGUGGGUACGGGCAGACUAGAGUGCAGUAGGGGAGACUGGAAUUCCUGGUGUAGCGGUGGAAUGCGCAGAUAUCAGGAGGAACACCGAUGGCGAAGGCAGGUCUCUGGGCUGUAACUGACGCUGAGGAGCGAAAGCAUGGGGAGCGAACAGGAUUAGAUACCCUGGUAGUCCAUGCCGUAAACGUUGGGCACUAGGUGUGGGGACCAUUCCACGGUUUCCGCGCCGCAGCUAACGCAUUAAAUGCCCCGCCUGGGGAGUACAGCCGCAAGGCUAGAACUCAAAGGAAUUGACGGGGGCCCGCACAAUCGGCGGAGCAUGCGGAUUAAUUCUAUGCAACGCGAAAAACCUUACCAAAGCUUGACAUGUUCUCGAUCGCCGUAGAGAUACAGUUUCGCCUUU
rnacentral:rRNA from 1 species